rnacentral:misc_RNA from 1 species
ACGUGAUACUCACGUAUUAAACCGUUUGUGAACUGUUGUCUGUCCCGUGGUCGAUGUUGGAGUGGCAGGGAGAAUAAUGGUGUGGAUUGCGUUCGCGCAGUUCUAACUCCUCUGUCUAAGUGUCCGACACUAAGCCCAUAUCGAUCAUGGUAGAUGAAGCUCGGGAGCUUAUUAAUGCCUGCACCUUGGCUUGCUUCUGGUCUGGCCCCUCUCACCCCUUUUAUUAUUAUAUCUAAUUUGUAUGUCUCUUUGAAUUCCUGACUUCGGUUGGUCGAGCUCGAUUAGAUGUCGUAUAUUACAAAUACGAAACAACUCUUAGCAACGGAUAUCUUGGUUCU